rnacentral:rRNA from 1 species
CUACGGGGGGCAGCAGUGGGGAAUAUUGCGCAAUGGAGGCAACUCUGACGCAGCCAUGCCGCGUGCAGGAAGAAGGCCUUAUGGGUCGUAAACUGCUUUUAUUUAGGAAUAACCCCCUGCUCGUGAGCAGGGCUGAAGGUACUAAAAGAAUAAGCACCGGCUAACUCCGUGCCAGCAGCCGCGGUAAUACGGAGGGUGCAAGCGUUAUCCGGAUUUAUUGGGUUUAAAGGGUGCGCAGGCGGGCUAUUAAGUCAGUGGUGAAAUCCCGGGGCUCAACUCCGGAACUGCCGUUGAUACUGAUAGUCUUGAGUUUGGUUGAAGUGGGCGGAAUGUAGCAUGUAGCGGUGAAAUGCAUAGAUAUGCUACAGAACACCAAUCGCGAAGGCAGCUCACUAAGCCAAAACUGACGCUCAUGCACGAAAGCGUGGGGAGCAAACAGGAUUAGAUACCCCUGUAGUC